UACGUAGGGUGCAAGCGUUAAUCGGAAUUACUGGGCGUAAAGCGUGCGCAGGCGGUUUUGUAAGUCUGUCGUGAAAUCCCCGGGCUCAACCUGGGGAUUGCGAUGGAGACUGCAAGGCUAGAAUCUGGCAGAGGGGGGUAGAAUUCCACGUGUAGCAGUGAAAUGCGUAGAGAUGUGGAGGAACACCGAUGGCGAAGGCAGCCCCCUGGGUCAAGAUUGACGCUCAUGCACGAAAGGCGUGGGGAGCAAACAGG
rnacentral:rRNA from 1 species